UCAUGAUGUUGUGUUUGCUCAGAGGCCUUUUCUCUUAGCUGCUAGUAUUAUAACUUACAACUUCACAGAUAUUGCAUUUUCACCAUAUGCAGAUUACUGGAGACAGCUGCGAAAAAUUUGCAUAUUGGAAUUGCUAAGUGCAAAGCGUGUGCAAUCAUACAGAUCAAUUAGGGAAGAGGAGGUAUCAAAUUUGAUCGGUACAAUUUCUUCUUCUCCAGGGCAGCCGUUCAACUUUAGCAGGAAGCUUUUUUCUUUAACUUAUGGUAUCGCUGCUCGGGCUACCUUUGGUGAGAAAUGCAAAGACCAAGAGGAAUUCAUACCACUUGUUGAGGAAAUUACAGAGGUAGUAGGAGGAUUCAGUCUAGCCGAUUUGUUCCCUUCCAUUAAAUUACUCCGUGUAAUUAGUGGGAUGAUGUCUAGACUCGUGAGGCUGCAGCAAGAAGCGGACAGGAUCAUUGAAAACAUCAUUAAUGACCACAAAGCAAGGAACAAAACAUCAAAGACAGGAAGCGAAGGUGAAGAAGAUGACCUUGUUGAUGUUCUUUUGAGGCUUCAGGAGCAUGGAAACCUUGAAUUUCCAUUAACAACGGACAAUAUCAAAGCAGUUAUCCUAGAAAUUUUCAUCGCUGGCAGUGAGACAUCAUCAACAACAGU
rnacentral:misc_RNA from 1 species